CCUACGGGAGGCAGCAGUGAGGAAUAUUGGUCAAUGGGCGCGAGUCUGAACCAGCCAAGUCGCGUGAGGGAAGACGGUCCUAUGGAUUGUAAACCUCUUUUGUCGGGGAGCAAAAGACGCCACGCGUGGCGUUCCGAGAGUACCCGAAGAAAAAGCAUCGGCUAACUCCGUGCCAGCAGCCGCGGUAAACCGGAGGAUGCGAGCGUUAUCCGGAUUUAUUGGGAUAAAGGGGUGCGCAGGCGGAUGCUCAAGUCAGCGGUAAAAUUGAGAGGCUCAACCUCUUCGAGCCGUUGAAACUGGUUGUCUUGAGUGAGUGAGAGGUAGGCGGAAUGCGUGGUGUAGCGGUGAAAUGCAUAGAUAUCACGCAGAACUCCGAUUGCGAAGGCAGCAUACCGGCGCUCAACUGACGCUCAUGCACGAAAGUGUGGGUAUCGAACAGGAUUAGAUACCCGUGUAGUC
rnacentral:rRNA from 1 species